rnacentral:sRNA from 1 species
GCUGGGCGUGGGGGUGCACACCUGUAACCCCAGCAACUUGGAAGACUGAGGCAGGAGGAUCCUAAGUUCAAAGCCAGCCUCAGCAACUUAAUGAGGUCCUAAGCAAUCCAGUGAGAUCCUGUCUCUA